rnacentral:rRNA from 1 species
AGUCCACAUCGACGGGGAGGUUUGGCACCUCGAUGUCGGCUCAUCACAUCCUGGGGCUGUAGUAGGUCCCAAGGGUUGGUCUGUUCGCCCAUUAAAGUGGUACGCGAGCUGGGUUCAGAACGUCGUGGGACAGUUCGGUCCCUAUCCGUCGCAGGCGUAGGAAAUUUGAGAAGACCUGUCCUUAGUACGAGAGGACCGGGAUAGACGUACCUCUGGUGUACCAGUU